GGUGGUAUCAUGGUGAAUAUACCGGUUCUUGUUAGAUCACCGAAGUCAAGCAUCAUUGGGCGCCUUCAGUACUUGGGUGGGUGACCACCUGGGAACACCGCGUGCCGUU
rnacentral:rRNA from 1 species